AAUGUAAUUUUCUGAAAGAUGUUUAAGAUAAUGAAAACAUUAUUAUUUGUCAAGACAAAUAUCAACCAGCUAACUACAAGCUAGUCGAUGUUCAGUCAAGAGAACUGAAUCUAGUCAAUCUGCUGCAUGCACAUGCUGUUAAAUGAAAUGGCACUGAGAUUUGGUAAAGAUCUAUAUAAAAAACUGCAUCAAAUGAUAAGCUUUAUAUGGAUAAAAUAGGCUGAUGUGGCAAAGUCAAAAUUUUUGUCAACUAUUGCUUCAAUCUUAACAAAACAAGACAAUUCUUCAAAAAAAUGCGACUUCAGAAAUCUCACGUUUAUUUGUACAUCAAAUUCAAGCAAAUCAUUUAUAUAUUGGACAACGGAUUUAACACUAGAAAACUUCUUUUAUUAUUGAUGAUAUAUUUUUAUAAACAUAGACAUA